CAGACGCAUUAUCGCGUCUUUACUCCUCCUCUUUCUUCUUCUUCUUCCAACGCAUCUUUACUUCUCCAGUUCUCCUCCUUCUUCUUCUUCCAAGUUCCAACGCACAACGGCAGGAAGAAAAUUGAUUAUCCAAGCUCUUGCUCUCUCCCAAGUCCCAAACCUUGAAACUCUGCAAAUUUUUUCUUUAAAUUGGUUUCAAUGGUUACUCAAUUCUUCAAUUCAUUCUCAUCCAUCACCCAAUCUUUCUCCUCUCUAUGUUUAUGUUAUUCUAUGGUGAUCGUACGAAAUUUUCAGCUUUCCAUUGAUGUAGGUUGAGGUACAAAUCAAAAUAGGUGCAAUUGGAAGUUGCAGAUGCAAGUCAAUCUCGAUCAAAAGACUGAGAAGAGAAAGAACAAGAAGGAAAAAAGCAAAUUCCAGAUUUUCAGGUGCAAUUAGAAGUAGGAUUUGCAAGUCAAUCUCGAUCAGAAAAGAAAAACAAGAAGGAAAAAAGCUGAUUCCAGAUUUCCAGGUUUUAUUGUUCUAUGCUAAAGUGUUUAUCAUUCAAAGUUUAGUGUCUUGGCUUGCUUGUUUGAGUUUUUUCUUGCUAGUUUCAAUAAUGUUUCCUAGGAAACAACUCUCAGGUUCUCAAAAAAGAAAAA